AGAGUGUUUGUACAAAAAAAAAAAACCUUUACAGUUGAGGGUUGUCGAGGAAAAAGAUUUUCUCUGUAAAUAUCUAGCAACGUGUUUGGUUUGGGAUGUGGAGGUAAUACCUUGCUGCUGAUUGCGUUGUUCACUCCAGCUUUUUUUUAAAUGAGGUUUUUGCUUUACCACUUAUGAUGUAGUAAUGACGCAAAAGGGUUACAACGGGAUGUAUGUAAAAGUAGAGAUGCGCCCAUGUUCAUGUGUGAACACAUCCACCCACAUGUUUUGGUUUGUGGUUUAAGAGAAUAUUUCAAGGCUACAUUUUGCUAAGUUAAAACAGUCUACGUAGAGUUAAAGAUGAAAGAAAGCCCUAAAUACCGUAGAUUGUGACUUUUAUGUGUUUUUUUAACCAGAGAUUUUGAUAGUACUGUAUCUGGCCUACCUAUGUUUCCAGAUCUAAAGCAAGAAUUACUCUAAUGGCUGCAUUUGGAAUCCUCCUCCAUUAGGAAUGGCCAGAAAAAUGGAGCUAGCGGCUUUCAUUUCAUAGUCAUCCUAAUGGACAUUUUGAUCCUGGGUCCAACUGUCUGAAAGGCUAGUUGUCCUUGUCUGUGGUGUGUACGUCGGGUCUUCACCCUAGGCGGAGCGGCGGCUAUGAACACACGUCGACUGCGUUUCUGUUCUCUUGCUUUUCCUCCUUCUCAUGCUCUUAAACUCAGGCCUUUAUGCUAUGAGUCACUAGUCCAAGAAGCACACAGUUUGUAGGAGUUCUGUACCAGCCCUGCUUUUGAGCAAAAAGGAAAAUUCCUGGCUGCACACAAGUCUGCGAGUACUUAGGUUGAGUAAUAAGCAUCAGGCAUUGGAAGAAAUGUUAAAUUUGCUUUUUUGAGGAAAAGGGGGGUGGAUUUUGGCAUCAUAGCAUAUAUAUUAAGGAAUAAUCAGGACAUCAGAUACAUUUUAAUACAUAGCUGGGGCCUUAUGUUGUAGAUGAAGCUUGCUGUUUUUAGCAAGUUCCUGGGUUUCACAUUCCUUUCUGAUGCAUCGAGUAGCUCCAUACAUUUCAUAACAUGGUCUCUUUAUUUGUAUGCAAAAAAAAAAAUACUGUAUUAAUAAAGAGCAGCAUUUUUGUAACAAAAAGACUUGUUGGAGCUAUUUGGUGCUUGAAUGUGACUGUCCUUUUUACUUUUGCUAAGCCUUAUUUAAAUUUUGUAUACCAUGGGAUAUGUAGAAUUUGUCAAAUCACUUUAGUGCUGAGGGGGUUUUUUGUUUGUUUUUUGUUGCAGUUUUUCCUGGUGGCUUGUUUUCUAUUGUAAGACAGCACUUGCUGACAUAAGUACUAAGGCACUAAGAGAAACACACACAGAUAAGUAUUUAUAAGUUGCUUGGGAUCCAUAGCAGGAUUUUUUGUUUUGUAAGAGAAAAAAAUUGUCAUUAAAUACUAAUCUAGCACCCUAACCCCCUCAGAGAUGUCUUAGUAUCUUCAGGCUAUAAAAUUGUUCAUCUAAGCGCAGCAACAUCUUACAGCCCUGUGGAUUGUAAAUCAUUUACCUUUACCGAGGCUAUAAACUCCGCUCCAAAAACAAAGGCAUCAUUUAAUCUACUGCCUGGUUGUCCUUCAUUGUAAGAUAGGUUGACAACGGCAAAACAGGAAAGAGUCUCCUUGUCCCUCACCUUUUUCCCCAUGCAGUUUUAGCCAUUCCCCGUUACUAUGUUGUGAAAUUGUAGAAGAAACAAAUACUUUACGAGAACUUCAAUGAGUUUCAAAAGCGGUCUCAGCAUUUAUAAUUCGGAUCUGUGUUUGGCGGUUGUCAUAACGCAAUCCUUCUGCACUCAGACAUCGAGACAGGUCUAUCGGGGAGGUAGUUCAUGGUUUACAGCCUUUGCUUUUUAACUGUCCAGUUUCCUUUAAAGCACAACUAGCUGCUUGUUUACAAAUGAUAUUUUUAUGUAUAUUUUGUAUAGUGUAUUAUCAUUUUUGCCAAAUAUGUUUUUGCAUUUUGGAUGAGUAAAGAGUACCUGAGGUUGCAUUCAUGUAGUCCCUGUUUGUUGUAAACCUCUCCAAUCAGCUGGUAGAAGUUCUCCUGUGUUCUCCUUGGUCCGUCUCCUGUGAUUGUAAGAUGUGCUCCUCGGUAGUACUCCCAGCUGUAGAUUUACCAGCUUAAAAGUUUGUUAGGAUCUGUGCAAUAAAGUGUUUGCGGUCUUAUUUUCUCUAAGAAAUUCCCUAUGGAUGUCAUAAUUGUUGUAUAUUGAACAAAUAUUUAUACUUAUGCAG
ensembl:lncRNA